rnacentral:rRNA from 1 species
UACGUAGGGUGCAAGCGUUAAUCGGAAUUACUGGGCGUAAAGCGUGCGCAGGCGGCUAUGCAAGACAGAUGUGAAAUCCCCGGGCUCCAACCUGGGAACUGCAUUUGUGACUGCAUAGCUAGAGUACGGUAGAGGGGGAUGGAAUUCCGCGUGUAGCAGUGAAAUGCGUAGAUAUGCGGAGGAACACCGAUGGCGAAGGCAAUCCCCUGGACCUGUACUGACGCUCAUGCACGAAGCGUGGGAGCAACAGG